rnacentral:rRNA from 1 species
GACGAACGCUGGCGGCGUGCCUAAUACAUGCAGGUCGAGCGAAGCGGCGGAUGGGUGAGUAACGCGUGGGUAACCUGCCCUUAAGUCUGGGAUACCAUUUGCAACCAGAUGCUAAUACCGGAUACUAAGGGAUGUACCUGCGAUGCAUUAGCUAGUGGGUAAGGUAACGGCUUACCAAGGCGACGAUGCCUAGCUGGGUUGAGAGGCUGACCGGCCACAUUGGAACUGAGACACGGCCCAAACUCCUACGGGAGGCAGCAGUAGGGAAUCUUCCACAAUGGACGAAAGUCUGAUGGAGCCACGCCGCGUGAGUGAAGAAGGUUUUCGGAUCGUAAAGCUCUGUUGUUGGUGAAGCGGUAAUCAACGAGAAAGUCACGGCUAACUCCGUGCCAGCAGCCGCGGUAAUUC